rnacentral:rRNA from 1 species
UUGAACGCUGGCGGCAUGCUUUACACAUGCAAGUCGAACGGUAACAGGUUAAGCUGACGAGUGGCGAACGGGUGAGUAAUGUAUCGGAACGUACCCAGUCGUGGGGGAUAACUAUCCGAAAGGAUAGCUAAUACCGCAUACGUCCUGAGGGAGAAAGCGGGGGAUCGCAAGACCUCGCGCGAUUGGAGCGGCCGAUAUCGGAUUAGCUAGUUGGUGAGGUAAAGGCUCACCAAGGCGACGAUCCGUAGCGGGUCUGAGAGGACGACCCGCCACACUGGAACUGAGACACGGUCCAGACUCCUACGGGAGGCAGCAGUGGGGAAUUUUGGACAAUGGGGGAAACCCUGAUCCAGCCAUUCCGCGUGAGUGAAGAAGGCCUUCGGGUUGUAAAGCUCUUUCAGCAGGAACGAAACGGUCGGCUUUAAUAAAGUCGGCUAAUGACGGUACCUGCAGAAGAAGCACCGGCUAACUACGU